rnacentral:pre_miRNA from 1 species
UAGAUAAAAGAUAUUGGAUCAUGUUAUUGGGUCUGGUUGCGCGACCAGACUCAAUAGCAGGACCCAAUGCUGAUGGGUCUA